rnacentral:rRNA from 1 species
AUUGAACGCUGGCGGCAGGCCUAACACAUGCAAGCCGAACGGUAACAGGAAACAGCUUGCUGUUUCGCUGACGAGUGGCGGACGGGUGAGUAAUGUCUGGGAAACUGCCUGAUGGAGGGGGAUAACUACUGGAAACGGUAGCUAAUACCGCAUAACGUCGCAAGACCAAAGAGGGGGACCUUCGGGCCUCUUGCCAUCGGAUGUGCCCAGAUGGGAUUAGCUAGUAGGUGGGGUAACGGCUCACCUAGGCGACGAUCCCUAGCUGGUCUGAGAGGAUGACCAGCCACACUGGAACUGAGACACGGUCCAGACUCCUACGGGAGGCAGCAGUGGGGAAUAUUGCACAAUGGGCGCAAGCCUGAUGCAGCCAUGCCGCGUGUAUGAAGAAGGCCUUCGGGUUGUAAAGUACUUUCAGCGGGGAGGAAGGGAGUAAAGUUAAUACCUUUACUCAUUGACGUUACCCGCAGAAGAAGCACCGGCUAACUCCGUG